UGCCGGUUGGGGGGGAACUAUCUUGACAAUCGGUGCGACAGCACUGGGCGGAGCUUGAAUAUUGAACUUGUUAAUGUUGUCUGCGGUGAUACCAUAAACACUGCAAUAUGAAGACUCACAUGACCGCCACCCGUUUCCAUCCCUGAACAACACACAGGUGCUGUAACUGGGGCAAAAAGUAGACAUGGGGAAUAAAAGGAGGAGGGAGGAUGCCAGCUGAGACCCUCAUCCCUAUACAACUGCCAACAUCAGACUA